UGUAUUUAUUAGAUAAAAAACCAAUGCCCUUCGGGGCUUUUUGGUGAUUCAUGAUAACUUUACGGAUCGCAUAGCCUUGCGCUGGCGACGGUUCAUUCAAAUUUCUGCCCUAUCAACUUUCGAUGGUAAGGUAUUGGCUUACCAUGGUUUCAACGGGUAACGGGGAAUUAGGGUUCGAUUCCGGAGAGGGAGCCUGAGAAACGGCUACCACAUCCAAGGAAGGCAGCAGGCGCGCAAAUUACCCAAUCCCGACACGGGGAGGUAGUGACAAUAAAUACUGAUACAGGGCUCUUUUGGGUCUUGUAAUUGGAAUGAGUACAAUUUAAACCUCUUAACGAGGAACAAUUGGAGGGCAAGUCUGGUGCCAGCAGCCGCGGUAAUUCCAGCUCCAAUAGCGUAUAUUAAAGUUGUUGCAGUUAAAAAGCUCGUAGUUGAAACUUGGGCCUGGCUGGCGGGUCCGCCUCACCGCGUGCACUCGUCCGGCCGGGCCUUCCUUCUGAAGAACCUCAUGCCCUUCACUGGGCGUACUGGGGAACCAGG
rnacentral:rRNA from 1 species